GAUAAACGCUGGCGGCGUGCCUAACACAUGCAAGUCGAACGCCCUUAGUAAUAAGGGAGUGGCGGACGGGUGAGGAACACGUGGGCAACCUACCCCAAAGUGAGGAAUACCGGCGAGAAAUCGCCGACAAGACCGCAUACGUUUCGCAAGAAACAAAGCUCUCCUCGGAGGGCGCUAUGGGAUGGGCCUGCGGCCGAUUAGCUAGCUGGGGAGGUAAUGGCUCACCAGGGCGACGAUCGGUAGCUGGUCUGAGAGGACGAUCAGCCACACUGGGAUU
rnacentral:rRNA from 1 species